GAUGAAGAACGCAGUGAAAUGCGAUACGUAGUGUGAAUUGCAGAAUUCAGUGAAUCAUCGAAUCUUUGAACGCACAUUGCGCCCUUUGGUAUUCCAAAGGGCAUGCCUGUUCGAGCGUCAUUUGUACCCUCAAGCUUUGCUUGGUGUUGGGCGUUUUUGUCUUUGGCCCGCCAAAGACUCGCCUUAAAAUGAUUGGCAGCCGGCCUACUGGUUUCGCAGCGCAGCACAUUUUUGCGCUUGCAAUCAGCAAAAGAGGACGGCAAUCCAUCAAGACUCCUUCUCACGUUUGACCUCGGAUCAGGUAGGGAUACCCGCUGAACUUAAGCAUAUCAAUAAGCGGAGGA
rnacentral:misc_RNA from 1 species